UCUAGAACCUUCACCUUAAGACCACAGAGAACUCAGCUUCUUGGAAGAGUAGCAAGGAGACUAAACCAGGAUGUGAGGGAAAUGGUGCUGGAGAGGACGAUCUGUCCCCAGACGGAGAGCCCCACCUCCCAGGCAUGGUGUCCAGAGGCUGGUGGGGAUGACAGUCUGACACCAGGUUCCUGACAUGCAAGGAUGGAUCACGACUAGAGGAAGUUGCAGCAGCUGGGGUGAUAGCGUGCCGGCCACUGCCACGGGAUCACCAGGCCGACAACUGCAGGAGGCACAGUUCCCAGCACAGUCCAUUUGAACGGCACCUGGGGCAAGACAUUUACUGUCCCUCGAAGCCCCAUGCACUUCCUUUAUUCGCUGAUCUUGCACCGGCCAGGCCUUGGGACUAACCCUGCUCAGUUCCCCUUCAUGAGAAAGACUGUCUUGGAUUCUGUGCUGCAGAUGUGGAAACCUCUGUACACACCACGCAUUAUAAUCAGAUAAAGCCCUGGACCCCGUGACGGAUGGCCACGGCAUACCAGCUGCUGUCCACUGACUUCUCUCACUGAGGCUCUUGUCCAGCAGAAGAACUGGGCAUGCUCAUGUUGGCAAGAAAAUGAACCUGAAAUGUGGAAUGUAUUCAGAGACUGGAAGGAGCGAGCCCUUUAUUUGCUUAAGGCUGCUUCCUUGCACCUGAUAUUAAUAAAUGAAAUGAAGGCUGAACAGUGUUUCAAACAACUAUACAAAUUGGAACAUGCUCGUCUAGUCAACAGAAGACGAAGAAAAUCCAGAAGUCGGCAAUAAAUAAACUGAAUAAGCUCA